ACCACGGGGGUAUGGCCUGUAGUAACGGCGAAGUGAAGCGGCAAAAGCUCAAAUUUGAAAUCUGGCACCUUCGGUGUCCGAGUUGUAAUUUGAAGAAGGUAACUUUGGAGUUGGCUCUUGUCUAUGUUCCUUGGAACAGGACGUCACAGAGGGUGAGAAUCCCGUGCGAUGAGAUGCCCAAUUCUAUGUAAAGUGCUUUCGAAGAGUCGAGUUGUUUGGGAAUGCAGCUCUAAGUGGGUGGUAAAUUCCAUCUAAAGCUAAAUAUUGGCGAGAGACCGAUAGCGAACAAGUACAGUGAUGGAAAGAUGAAAAGAACUUUGAAAAGAGAGUGAAAAAGUACGUGAAAUUGUUGAAAGGGAAGGGCUUGAGAUCAGACUUGGUAUUUUGCGAUCCUUUCCUUCUUGGUUGGGUUCCUCGCAGCUUACUGGGCCAGCAUCGGUUUGGAUGGUAGGAUAAUGACUAAGGAAUGUGGCUCUACUUCGGUGGAGUGUUAUAGCCUUGGUUGAUACUGCCUGUCUAGACCGAGGACUGCGUCUUUUGACUAGGAUGUUGGCAUAAUGAUCUUUAACCCACACCUCUUUAACCCCCUAACCAAAAAAAACCUAGUUUAGUUGUUUUCUUUGUAAAUUUUUCUGUACCGACGCUGCCUGGAAACCACGCG
rnacentral:rRNA from 1 species